UAAUACGUAGGGAGCAAGCGUUGUUCGGAAUCACUGGGCGUAAAGAGAGCGUAGGCGGGAGAAUAAGUUAGAAGUGAAAUGUACCGGCUCAACCGGUAACGUGCUUUUAAUACUGUUUUCCUUGAGUAUCGGAGAGGUAGACGGAAUUCCAGGUGUAGCGGUGGAAUGCGUAGAUAUCUGGAAGAACACCAGUUGCGAAGGCGGUCUACUGGCCGAAUACUGACGCUGAGGCUCGAAAGCUAGGGGAGCGAACAGGAUUAGAUACCCUGGUAGUCCUAGCCGUAAACGAUGGAUACUAGAUGCUGGGAGUGUUAUGCUUUCAGGGUCGAAGCUAACGCAUUAAGUAUCCCGCCUGGGGAGUACGCUCGCAAGAGUG
rnacentral:rRNA from 1 species